UACGUAGGGCGCGAGCGUGUCCGGAAUUAUUGGGCGUAAAGAGCUCGUAGGUGGUUGGUCGCGUCUGCCGUGAAAACCCAUGGCUUAACUGUGGGCUUGCGGUGGAUACGGGCCGACUUGAGGUAGGUAGGGGAGAAUGGAAUUCCGGUGUAGCGGUGAAAUGCGCAGAUAUCGGGAGGAACACCGGUGGCGAAGGCGGUUCUCUGGGCCUUACCUGACGCUGAGGAGCGAAAAGCGUGGGGAGCGAACAGG
rnacentral:rRNA from 1 species